GACGAACGCUGGCGGCGUGCUUAACACAUGCAAGUCGAACGGAAAGGCCCUGCUUUUGUGGGGUGCUCGAGUGGCGAACGGGUGAGUAACACGUGAGUAACCUGCCCUUGACUUUGGGAUAACUUCAGGAAACUGGGGCUAAUACCGGAUAGGAGCUCCUGCUGCAUGGUGGGGGUUGGAAAGUUUCGGCGGUUGGGGAUGGACUCGCGGCUUAUCAGCUUGUUGGUGGGGUAGUGGCUUACCAAGGCUUUGACGGGUAGCCGGCCUGAGAGGGUGACCGGCCACAUUGGGACUAAGAUACGGCCCAGACUCCUACGGGAGGCAGCAGUGGGGAGUAUUGCACAAUGGGCGGAAGCCUGAUGCAGCAACGCCGCGUGCGGGAUGACGGCCUUCGGGUUGUAAACCGCUUUCGCCUGUGACGAAGCGGGAGUGACGGUAAUGGGUAAAGAAGCACCGGCUAACUACGUG
rnacentral:rRNA from 1 species